rnacentral:rRNA from 1 species
AUGGCGACUCCACGCAUCUCUUGCGCCCCGCAACCCUCUCCUUCCCGGCACAACAGGAGUAGGAGCAAGGAUGCCGAGGCGGUUCAGUCGCGAGGAAGAGUAGGAAGAUCAGGCAGAGAGGGUUUCACACACCUCUUCUACACUGACAAGUCUUUGCAUUCCAGGAUUGCCAUGGGAGCUUUGGAUGGUGGUCUUGAUCUUCCGCACAGUGACAGGAGAUUUGCUGGCUUCAAGAAGGAUAAGAAGCAGUUGGGCGCUGAGAUUCACCUCAAAUACAUCUAUGAAGGUCAUGUUGCUGACUACAUGAAGUCAAUAGCUGAUGAGGAACCUAAGAAGUACCAAUCUCACUUCAGUGAGUACAUCAAGAAGAACUGA